rnacentral:lncRNA from 1 species
CGGGGAUUUAGCUCAAUGGUGCUGCUCAAGCACAAGGACCACAAGUGGCCCCGCAAGCCCAAGGUCCAGAGUUCAAUUCCAGAUUAAAAAAAAAAUUAAUAGAUCAAAAUAUCUUGUCUAUUUAUAAAUCUUAAGAACCCAAGAGCACUUGUGGGACCAAAAUGACUCCAUUUUGGAGCCGUCUCCUUUGUUCUCUCAAAUUUGUGCUUAUCUACUCAAAAUUCCUAAGUUUAUUACCCAGCCAUCUGUGUACUCAGGAAAAACAUUCCGGACACACUAUCUAUGGGAUAAGCAGUUAAUGGCUAACUGCCCACAAAAGAUAGAUGUGACCAUUAGUCAGUGGAUCUGCUAACCAUCAGCUUAUGACAGUCGACCACUAACCUUUGUGCCCUUCUCCCUUGCAAAAAUCUAUACGUAACCCCCUUAACCCCCCCCCGAGCCUAACCAAUCAAAACCCUACACUUCAUAUGUAUUUAGUAUUAACCAAUCACCUGGCUACUAACAACCAAAGCUUGUUGUAUUCUCAAUAAAAACCCUGCUAGUUAGGGACUCAGGGCUCUCAAUCUCGAUCCGCUGCGUCGGUGACAAUUGAGAGUCCCUGCUUAAGCUUGAAUAAACGACCCUCGUGUGCUUAGAUCGGAAACGGCCUCCUGGUGGUCUCUGAGACUUCACGAUCUGGGCACAACACACUAAAAUUUACAUUUAGCAACUGAUUACUCAGGUGGUACAAAGAUUUAUAAUACAUAUUUUUUAAAUGUACUUGUCUCUAAAAAUAAUUUUACAUAAUCUAUGGAAAUAAAGAUAUUAGACAAAAAAAUUAAUACUUCAAGUAUCUCUUGUUAAAAAAUCCCUUAAAAAGUUGCUGUGCUUGAAACUUAGAAGCAAUGGACAACAUAGCUUUACUUUUUAAUCAAACUAAAUGUUAUCUUGAUUGGGUAAAAUGUAUGUUAACAAUUUUAAAGACAUUCAUUGUUCAGUAUCUAAUCCAAUAAAGUAGUACCUUGAUCUCUGCCUGACUUGUUGGUCUCACUUCUUUCUUAAGAGUUCAUUUUACUGUUCACAGUUAUAGACAAGAAACGUUAUAUCUUCCAUCCCCUUUUCAUGAACUAUUUUGGCCUAUUAUCACAAUCCCACUCUCCUUCUCUUGUUCCUCUCUCUCCCUCUUCCUCUCUGCAUUCUCUGUUUAUUUUUCACCUCUUUCUUCUAACAUUUAGAGCUUUAUAAAAUUGACCUAAGGGAGAAUUCCAUAGACAUUUCAAUAAUUUGAAGCUAAAUGCCUCUUCAGAAGUCUGCUAAAUAUUAGAAC